AGCGAACGCUGGCGGCAGGCUUAACACAUGCAAGUCGAACGGGCACUUCGGUGCUAGUGGCAGACGGGUGAGUAACGCGUGGGAACGUGCCUUUCGGUUCGGAAUAAUUCAGGGAAACUUGGACUAAUACCGGAUACGCCCUUCGGGGGAAAGAUUUAUCGCCGAAAGAUCGGCCCGCGUCUGAUUAGCUAGUUGGUGAGGUAAUGGCUCACCAAGGCGACGAUCAGUAGCUGGUCUGAGAGGAUGAUCAGCCACAUUGGGACUGAGACACGGCCCAAACUCCUACGGGAGGCAGCAGUGGGGAAUAUUGGACAAUGGGCGCAAGCCUGAUCCAGCCAUGCCGCGUGAGUGAUGAAGGCCUUAGGGUUGUAAAGCUCUUUUGUCCGGGAAGAUAAUGACUGUACCGGAAGAAUAAGCCCCGGCUAACUUCGUGCCAGCCGCCGCCGUAAGAC
rnacentral:rRNA from 1 species